AGAAUAAAUCAAGCUAGCAGCAAACCUACCUUCGGCGUGUGUCUACUUGCUUAUCAUAGUGUGUGUCCGUGUAUGAGAGAUGAUGUACUGUCACGAACUCACGUGUGUAUGAGAGAGGAUACAUGGUAAGACUAUCACUACUAGAAUCCGCCUCUUUACUGACUGACAACCAAAAAACACUCGAUAAGAAAAUACUUGGUAAAGUGUUUUUUUUUUCGAGUGUUUUAUUUUUAACUCUCGGCAAAUAGUUUCUUUGGAGAGUGUUUUUUACACCCGACAAAGAACUUAUUUGCCGAGUUUUUAUAUAUUUUACAUUUAUAUGUUAUCAAGUCAUUAUAUAAUGCAAUAAUUUAUAUCAAAUGCAGCUCGCAAGCCGAGUCGAGCCGAGCAUCCUCCUUCAGCUUGUUGAGUGGGCGAUCCUAGCUCGGUUAACCAACAAGCUGCACCGAGUCCAACCGAUCUCGGCUCGUUUCCAGCCAUAACUCAGACCAUGCAUGGCAAGGACCUUCUUUGUAAAACUAGAUGCUAGGUCUAAUUGGCCAUAUAAUAAUUAAAUAGUCCUCUUCUUCUAUUAGCAAUGCUUUGACAUGAAGUUGUAUAACAAGUUUAUAAGAAAUGGCCCACGUUUGCCAUCAUUAAACCAAUAUUUUCUCUAACAAAGAGAAUUGUCAAAUGCUCGGACAAAUAGAACUGACAAGCAUUCCAUCUUCUACCCUUUUCCUCUAAAAGAGGAUGACUUGGACAUUUGAAGCAUCUCUUAUCAAUGUUUUUUUAUGUCACUAAACAUACGCUCGACCAAGCCCUGAAUGCAAUCGAGGCUCUCUACAAAAUCAUUUGAUCAGCAACAAAGAGGCUUAUUUACUCUAGUGUACUAAACUGCAGCACUUACCCUUUCCAUAAACUAACAGUGUAUAAGGUUUGCUGAAUAGUUCUUGUAAAACUUCAGAAGUUCAAGUCUGAUGUCCAGGCCCCUUGAUUUCGGUUUAGUCUAUAGCGUUUCCCAACUUCCUGAUAUAUUAAAUAGAAAAUUAGAAAAAUCAAGAUGACAAAUCCAAAACUUAUUACAUAUUUGGGAUUAAAAACUCCCAUGAAUACACAAUAAUGCAUGGCCAGAAGAUGUCCCUGGAUUGUUACCUAAGUUCUAACAAUCUGGCUGCGAUGUUGCGAAGGGAGGUGGCGGGUGAGGGUGCAGAGGCUCUCGCGGGUUGGAGGACGUCGGCUCAGCUCGAUUGCAUAUUAAUUUUGGGUUCGCAUCUUCCGUGCGAGCAGUGCACGGCCACGCGCGUCGAUAAACCAGUGUCGGAGAGUCCCGUAAAACGCGGGCAUAUGUUAAAACCCUAGCGUCUUUUAACUAGAGAUAGCUAGUACAUAUUCCCAACGCACCUUAAAUAUUGUGGCUAAACCAUUUAACCAAGGUACAAAAUGGCCGAACGGAAGAUCCAGGCCUCCGAUGGCUAUAGGCUCUUCACGACUUUGCUUCACCUCAAUGCAAGCUUUACGAUGACACCACGUGCCUCACCUUCUCAUUCGUACCAGCUAGGUUUUAAGGACCGAACCCAAAAAACCAUCAGUCUGGUGAUUUUAAGGUCCAAACUCCAAACUAACAUAUGCCUCAUAUGUAGUGUAUGUGAUAUGCCCUCUUCACGAUUUUAUUGCGUGUCGCCGUCAGUCUUCGAUUGCACAACCACUCCUCCACCGACUGAUCAUCAAGUCAUCUGGCUCCUCCACUUGACUUGGUCGACACGGUCUACUCUCUCAGAUACAUUUGCACUUGUCGAUGUCCACAGUUUUGAGCCACCAUGAUCAGUACUCUUUCGGUUUGUCCACUCCAUUGGUCUAAGCCUCGACGUAUGUCCUUCACUGCUGCUAUUGGUACAUCAGCACAGAUCCUGCUAGAUCUUCACCUUCGCAGGUCAACAAAACGUCUUAAAAAGACGACGACCCCAAGAGUCUUCUUGGGUUGGCAUAUCUUCCACAAAAUGCAAAUGCAGCUAGCUUUCCCUUGUCAACCUGCCGGGUGCGGCCGGGCUAGUAGCUUUUUCUUCUGCAUGCCGGAACGCAGACGGCAAGACCAAUCCGAGUGGUAGCGCCUGCUAAUUUGGAAAUGCUUUGUGGACAACUACUUCCAUCUAUCCAGCAGCUCAGGAAAUAUUUACCGUACGUAGCUCCAUCACCCGCGGCUCCGCCUUGUUGUUAUAUAAAUUAGAUUAUAAGGCACGGCCCGAGAGUGGAGUGGGAGAGCGCGAAGUUAAGCCACCAUGUGGACGAGGGCUUUAGCGACGGUGCUGUUCGUGGCAGGCGCCGCGCUGCUCGGCGUCGGCGUCGGCGGCGCCAGCGCGCAGCAGGGCGUGUGGAGCAUCAUCACUCGUCCCAUGUUCCAGAGCAUGCUGAGCCACCGCGGCGAUAGCGGGUGCCAGGGCGCCUUCUACACCUACGACGCCUUCAUCGAGGCCGCCAGCAAGUUCCCCGGCUUCGGCACCACCGGCGACGAGCAGACGCGCAGGCGGGAGCUCGCCGCCUUCUUCGGCCAGACGUCCCACGAAACCACCGGUACGCAUGCCAUGCAUGCAUACAGAAUGCCUCAACCUCAACCAUUUCCUCUUCGAUCGGCCGUCGUCUUCUGACUGAGCUCAUCGAUCUGCUCGCAUGGCUACCGUACGUGCAGGUGGAUGGGCGACUGCUCCGGGUGGACCGUUUGCCUGGGGAUACUGCCGGGUGAAGGAACAGAACCCGACGGACCCACCCUACUAUGGACGAGGACCCAUACAGCUAACUCAGUAUGAUCAGCAGCACAAACACUCUGCAUGCGCUAUGUAUAGGAGUAUAUGUUAACAGCAGCCCAGCCCUAUAGCUUGUUGAUCAUACUGUCAUCGCAUCGCAUGCAGUGAGUACAACUACAGGCUCGCCGGGCAAGCGCUGAACCUGAACCUGGUGGGCAACCCGGACCUGGUGGCGAGCGACCCCGUGGUAGCCUUCAAGACGGCCAUCUGGUUCUGGAUGACGCCGCAGUCGCCCAAGCCGUCGUGCCACGCCGUGAUGACCGGCGCCUGGACGCCGUCCGCCACCGACCGCGCCGCCGGGAGGCUCCCCGGAUAUGGCCUCACCUCGAACAUCAUCAACGGCGGGCUAGAGUGCGGCAAGGGCCAGUCCACCGACGGCGCCAAGGACCGGGUCGGCUACUACAAGAGGUACUGCGAUAUGCUCCGGGUGGGGUACGGGGACAACGUGCCCUGCAAGGACCAGAAGCCUUACGGAGGAUGAGGACGUACGUGGACAACAAUAAUUAUAUGGUUGCUGCAAGCCUUCACGUGUUUUUGUUGCCUCUCUACCAACUAAGAAUAAAUCAAGCUAGCAGCAAACAGGGGCAACCUGCUACCUUCGGCAUGUGUCUACUUAUCAUAUAGUGUGUCUAUGUAUGGCACAGUAUCUCAUCUCUGGAUGCAUGAUAACGAACUAAUCAACGGUUAGCAGCAUUCACCUUUACGUUUCCGGUGGUUCCACUUGGCAUUUAUGACACCAGCAGUGAACAGAUGAAAGGAACUAUAUAUAUACUAGUGGAUGUCGCGCGCCUUGCACGUGAUUUAAAAUUUGGUUUUUAGACUAUCGUUAGAUGGAGAAGAGACAUAACCGG
rnacentral:lncRNA from 1 species